AUGUGUUAAUUGUAGGGGUGCCCAUGGAGCUGGGGAUCAGAAAUGUCCCGUGCGAUAGAAGCAGGUUGAGGUUUCUAGAGUUAAGAGUAGAGCAGAAUUUGUCAUAUGCUGAGGCGGUGGAGAAAGUAGAGGAAGAUGGGAGAAGUGGUGAGAGUAGUAGAGAUAUACUAGUACAGAGGGAUAGGCCAAAAAGUUAAAUACGUUUCAGUAAGAUUGGAUUUUUAGCAUUUACAGCAAUGGUUAUUAAUUGUACUGCAGGAAUAGAUCAGAAGUCUCAGAAAAUUGAGGUUGUGGUGGCAGCUGUAGAGAGGCAUUUGGGUGUGCAUGACUUGACAGCAGGAGAGUUACAGGAUGUGGUGAUUUUCCCAUCCUUUUAGGGUGAUGGUAGGAAGUAGGAAUAAAUACAUUUAAUUAGUGGAGUAUGGGGGUGUUCAUUUUAUUUUAAAUCAUUUUGAAAUUAGUGAAUAUAGUGUUAGAUGGGUAUUUAGUACAUUUUUCUACUUUAAGUAAAGUAUAAGGUAUUGUAGGUCUGGCAGUAAUGCAACAAAUUUGAUGCAACCAUCGUUAACCUCAUAGAAGAAGGAGAUGAAAGACCUCCAAUCGUCAACAUGACUGGCUGCGUUUUGCUACAAUCAUUAUUUAGUUUUCCAAGGACCCAUAAAACAGAGGCCGUGGGAGAACCUAUUAAAAUACAGAGAGCUGUCGAAGCCUGUCUGCAGAUGAAGAGGUCCCAGUGAAUGUCCCAACAGAGUAAGGGUACAUCCCUGUAUGCCAUGGAGUAUAUACCGUUUUAAAAGUCACACAAUGUAGAAACCUAUUACAACUGGAGCAGACCAACCCU